rnacentral:piRNA from 1 species
UGACUUUUGUUUUGAAUGUGGUGGA